GAUGAACGCUGGCGGCGUGCCUAAUACAUGCAAGUCGAGCGAGCGGCGGACGGGUGAGUAAUGUCUGGGAAACUGCCGGAUGGAGGGGGAUAACUACUGGAAACGGUAGCUAAUACCGCAUAACAUCAGAUGUGCCCAGAUGGGAUUAGCUAGUAGGUGGGGUAAUGGCGUACCUAGGCGACGAUCCCUAGCUGGUCUGAGAGGAUGACAAGCCACACUGGAACUGAGACCCGGUCCAGACUCCUACGUGAGGCAGCAGUGGGGAAUAUUGCACAAUGGGCGCAAGCCUGAUGCAGCCAUGCCGCGUGUAUGAAGAAGGCCUUCGGUUUGUAAAGCACUUUCAGCGAGGAGGCGUUACUCGCAGAAGAAGCACCGGCUAACUCCGUGCCAGCAGCCGCGGUAAUAC
rnacentral:rRNA from 1 species